rnacentral:tRNA from 1 species
UUUUAAUAUGGCAGAUUUAAGUGUAAUGAAUUUAAGAUUCAUAAAUGAAAGUAAUUUUUUNAUUAAAAA